AUAUAUAUAGGCAAAGGAUUGAGGGUAAUAAUUAGAGUGCAGGUGCUCAUUGGGCCCAAUCAUCCACCCAAAUUAUUCCUUCUUAUCUCUUUGCUUACUCAUUAGGACACAUUACAUCUUUACAUAAAACUUUGCCUACUAUUUACAAGAUUUUUCUUGAAAUAAAUAAAUACUAGCCUAACAAGACAAAGACUUUUCUAGCCUAACAAGACUAGCCAAAAAAUACUACACUUUUCUUGAAAUAAAUACUAGCCUAACAUGACAAACACUUUUCUUGAAAAAUACUAGCCUAAUAAGACUAUAAUACUAGCCUAACAAGAAUAAACUAAAAUACUACAUUUUUGAAAAUUACAAGACUUUUUACAAAAACUCUUUUAGUCUUCAUUUUGCUCUUUGUCUUCUUCUUCUUCUUUGUCUUUUUCCAUAGUAU
rnacentral:lncRNA from 1 species